rnacentral:rRNA from 1 species
GAUGAACGCUGGCGGCGUGCCUAAUACAUGCAAGUCGAGCGAAUGGAUUAAGAGCUUGCUCUUAUGAAGUUAGCGGCGGACGGGUGAGUAACACGUGGGUAACCUGCCCAUAAGACUGGGAUAACUCCGGGAAACCGGGGCUAAUACCGGAUAACAUUUUGAACCGCAUGGUUCGAAAUUGAAAGGCGGCUUCGGCUGUCACUUAUGGAUGGACCCGCGUCGCAUUAGCUAGUUGGUGAGGUAACGGCUCACCAAGGCAACGAUGCGCAGCCGACCUGAGAGGGUGAUCGGCCACACUGGGACUGAGACACGGCCCAGACUCCUACGGGAGGCAGCAGUAGGGAAUCUUCCGCAAUGGACGAAAGUCUGACGGAGCAACGCCGCGCGAGUGAUGAAGGCUUUCGGGUCGUAAAACUCUGUUGUUAGGGAAGAACAAGUGCUAGUUGAAUAAGCUGGCACCUUGACGGUACCUAACCAGAAAACCACGGCUAACUACGUGCCAGCCGCCGCAGUAA